rnacentral:rRNA from 1 species
AUGAAAGCAGCAUUAAAAACUAUCCUCCCACAUACUCUGGAUAAGUUGUGUCGGUGGCAUAUCAUGAAGAAGCACAAAGACCACCUCGCCUUGCUGUAUAAGGCGCACGAGAAACUUAAGGAUGACCUCAAUGCGGUGCUGAACCACCCACUAAUGCCGUCAGAAUUUGAACGAGCAUGGAAAGACCUCAUUCAGAGAUACAACUUGCAAGACGAUGAAGUGAUGAAUUCGCUGUGGGAAGACAGGCACGAGUGGAUCUCGGCUUACUACAAGGAAAUUUUCUGUGCUCGGAUGACUUCCACACAGAGAAGCGAGAGCAUGAACAACAUACUGAAGAAAAACUUUGUCAAAGAGAAGCAUGAACUCCAUCUAUUUGCUCGGCAGGUGGAAAAGUGCAUUCAGACCAGGAAGGCCGUCGAGCACGCAGAGACAGUAGCAAAUGAGUCAGAGGUAAAGACAACAACCCAGUUUGGGUUCGAAGUUCAGCUAUCAAAAGUGUAUACAAGGGCAGUGUUUGCAGAUUUCAAAGAAACACUCUACCGUAGCACUGCAUUCAGAGCAGAACGGUGCCCUGAGAACCCGACAAAGUAUCUCGUACACCACUACAACAGAUCGGAUGCAUUUGACUGGGCAAGGCAUAAUUUCCAAGUGGUAGCUGAUGAACAGAAAGGUGUCUACGAAUGUGAAUGUAAACUCUAGACACACACAGGGCUCUUUUGCGUCCAUGUGUUAUGCAUGCUUUCUCAUUUGAGAGUACUCAAGAUUCCUGAGGUGUACAUCAUGAAAAGAUACACCCGUAACGCAAGAUCAAAUGCGACGUUUGACAGAAGAGACUAUGAACAAAUGGCACCAGAUGGAACAUCGCUUUUUUGCCAUAGAAAAUUGCUGACAGAAACAGCAAUGGACCUUGCAAACAGAGCGACAAGGUCCGACGCUGGGUGA